UACGUAGGAGACAAGCGUUGUCCGGAAUUACUGGGUGUAAAGCGCGUGUAGGCGGUAGGCCAAGUCUGCUGUGAAAUCGCCCGGCUCAACUGGGCGCGGUCGGUGGAAACUGGUCAACUGGAGGACGGUAGAGGCGAGUGGAAUUCCCGGUGUAGUGGUGAAAUGCGUAGAGAUCGGGAGGAACACCAGUGGCGAAGGCGGCUCGCUGGGCCGGUCCUGACGCUGAGACGCGAAGGCGUGGGGAGCGAACAGG
rnacentral:rRNA from 1 species